GCACCUAAAGCAAACUACGAUAUUCAUAAGUGAUUAUUUUCCUAAGUUUGAGAUUGUUGUGAGGCCAUGCAAAUAUACCUACAAGACAAUUGUAGAAACUAUGAAACAGAACUUGAGGUUUGAAGAGAAGAAUAUCAAAUGAAAAAUUAUUGAGAACCCCCUUAAAAGAGCUUCUCAGGGUAUUCAAAGAAGCAGAGCAGUACAUCAAGCCAUCCCUGGAAAUGAAGGAUUUUUGGGCAAAAGCCAUAGUUCUUUACAAGAAUACAGAUUCUGUUAAAUUUCACAUCCACAAUUUGCUUUCUUGCGUGCCAAUUGUCAUUGAGUCUAUAGAAAUAGCAGGAGAGAUUUCAGGUAGUGACCAUGAUGAGAUACAGAAGAAGAGAUUCAUUUACUCAAUAAAAUAUCAGAAAGAGUGUAAAGACCCAAGAAUUUUCCAAUGGAUAAUUAAAUGAGUUGUACCACAAUGUAUGAACUAAUAGCUCAUCUAAACUAUUAAAUAAUUACAUAGAACCAAAGGCUUAAAACCAUAAAAUCAAUCUACAUCUCAACAUCUUUCAAUCACUAAUUUCCAUAUUUGCACAUUAGUAGUCAAAAGUUCACUGUUAAUGUGACAAAGACUAACCAAAUGGAUACCACAACAAUUAUAUCAUGAAGGAAGUAAAACAGAGAGAUGGUAAUCUCAAAGAAACAGAUAAACCCAUUAGGAUGGCGGACCGAAGGAAAACUAAUACAGAGAGGAAAAUUAAUCAAUAUCUUUCACCAAACUAGUAAAAUGAAUGUAAGAUAAAAUAAACACAAGGAAAAGAACCUGUAGUAUUGCAAAGCAAAGUACUUAUUUAAUAUGAUGAUAACAAUCAUCCUCCAACUUAUACAACAACUCGUUAGAAGUAGAACCGAACAUCGUCGACCUCAUCAACGGAACCUCGGACGACGACCAUCUUAACGACGGCUCGGAUUUUUGAAAGAUCUUGGGGCUGUUUCGUGGUGUUAAAGGGUGAUUUUGGAGCUAGUUUCAUGGCAUUUUUUAGGCAGUAUUUUAGCUGAUUUUGAGCUGGAAUUUCAGCUUAUUUGGGGCUGCUUAAAUGGUAUUUUUGGAGCUAAAAAUGGUAGUGUUUUUGGAGGAAGAAGUAUAAAAGCAGCGGCUCCUCUUUUGCCUUAGCUCUAGGGUGAUUUUUGUUCUCUCUUUUGUGGUGUGGAGCUUGAAAACUGAGAAGAGGUUCCGGCUCUUUUGUGAUGCGGAGCUUGAAAACUGAGAAGAGGUUCCCACUCUUUUGUGAGGAAGAAGCAGAUAAGCAGCGGCCGUCCCUUCACUUAGGAAUUUAGGUUAGCUCUAAUAUCAAAUGGAGAGUGGGUAUAGGCUUGAG
rnacentral:lncRNA from 1 species